rnacentral:tRNA from 2 species
GCCGAAGUGGCGGAAUUGGUAGACGCGCUACAUUCAGGAUGUAGUGCCCGAAAAGGGCGUGUGGGUUCGAGUCCCUCCUUCGGCACCA